rnacentral:lncRNA from 1 species
ACUCUUGGACUUGCACCAGUGGCUUUUCAGGGGCUCCCGGGCCUUGGGCCACAGACUGAAGGCUGCACUGGCAGCUUCCCCAGUUGUGAAGCUUUCAGACUUGGACUGAGCUGCGACUGGCUUCUCUCUUUCCCAGCUUGCAGAAGGCCUAUCAUGGUCCUGUGCCUUGUGAUCAUGUGAGUCAGUUCUCCCUAAUAAACUCCUUUUUAUAAAUACAUACAUCCUAUUUGUUCUGUCCCUCUGGAGAACCCUAAUACAUGUAGGUUCUCCCUAUUUUACAUUAUGGCCUAAGUAGAGAUAACGCCAAAUAAAUUGCCAUAAAUUUAGGUAAUCUAAGUUACCAGGUAAACCAAGACAGAGUCCCUUAGGCCUUUCUAAUAAUAGGUGGCUGCUGUCAGGAAUAUCUUUACAUCUUCACAGAGAUGCUGACUUCAACAUUAUGGUCCUCAAGAGGAUUACUGCACCUAGCUUCAUUGUGUUUUUCCAUUUGAAAAGUAGAUGAAGCUUUACUCUUUAAACAAAUCCUACUGUAACCAAUCUAAUCUACAUUGAUUCUUUGCUCCUCUGACUUCUUAAUCUGCACAAUAUGUAUACACUCAUUUUGACCACUUUGGAACGGCAUAGCAGAGAUGUGAAAAACGGUGGGCGUGUUUUGAAAGGAUUGGGCAUAGGAAGAGACUUCACUGCUUUACCUAAUUGCUUACCCAGUUAUCUGCUUCGGCCUGCAGUUGCUCACCAAUGCCUGGGAAUAUAAAUCUGAGUCAAUCUUCUUUUCAUUCAGUCAUUGAUUCUUUGACUUAUUCACACAGCCAAUAUUGAUUGCAUGCUAUUUUGUGCCAGUUGCUCUCCUGGGGACAGAUUCAUUCACAAGGCUGUCAAGAGCCCUGCCCUCAUUUUCUCACAUUCCAGUGACAGAGAAAUAAACAAACAUGCAAACUAAUAAAUAAAAGGGUAACUACAAACUACAAGUGCUAGGAAGAAAAUAAAUGAACCAGACCAUAAAGUGAAAGCCUCAUUAGGGUGGUCAGGAAUGGCUGCAUUAAGACCUGAAUGCUAGAAAAGAGCCACGCUUGCAAUAAGGCUGGCGAAGAACAUUCCAGACAUUGGUAUCCCUGGAUUAUCUCAUAUCCCUUCUCCUUUAUCGCUUGUCACUCUUUCACCUCAGUCCUCUGAGAGCUUUUGAUUAUACAGAGUGGAGAAUCACACAAU